ACGGCUGAGUAACGCGUAGGAAUUUGCCCCAAAGUGAGGAAUAACUGCCCGAAAGGGUAGCUAAUGCCGCAUAUGGUCUUCGGAUUAAAGCCUUCGGGCGCUUUGGGAGAAGCCUGCGUUGGAUUAGGUAGUUGGUAGGGUAAUGGCCUACCAAGCCGACGAUCCAUAGCUGGUCUGAGAGGAUGAUCAGCCAGACUGGAACUGAGACACGGUCCAGACUCCUACGGGAGGCAGCAGUGAGGAAUCUUCCACAAUGGGCGAAAGCCUGAUGGAGCAACGCCGCGUGAAGGAUGAAGGCCUUCGGGUUGUAAACUUCUUUUAUGAGUGAAGAAUAUGACGGUAACUCAUGAAUAAGCACCGGCUAACUACGUGCCAGCAGCCGCGGUCAUACGUAGGGUGCAAGCAUUAUCCGGAGUGACUGGGCGUAAAGAGUUGCGUAGGCGGUUUAAUAAGUGAAUAGUGAAACCUGGUGGCUCAACCAUACAGACUAUUAUUCAAACUGUUAAACUCGAGAAUGGUAGAGGUAACUGGAAUUUCUAGUGUAGGAGUGAAAUCCGUAGAUAUUAGAAGGAACACCGAUGGCGUAGGCAGGUUACUGGGCCAUUUCUGACGCUAAGGCACGAAAGCGUGGGGAGCGAACCGGAUUAGAUACCCGGGUAGUCCACGCCGUAAACGAUGGAUACUAGCUGUUGGAGGUAUCGACCCCUUCAGUAGCGAAGCUAACGCGUUAAGUAUCCCGCCUGUGGAGUACGGCCGCAAGGCUAAAACAUAAAGGAAUUGACGGGGACCCGCACAAGCGGUGGAUUAUGUUCUUUAAUUCGAUGAUAACCGAAGAACCUUACCAGGGCUUGACAUCCAGGGAAGGUCUGCGAAAGUAGACUGUGCCUUUUGGAACCCUGUGACAGGUGAUGCAUGGCCGUCGUCAGCUCGUGUCGUGAGAUGUUAGGUUAAGUCCUUCAACGAGCGCAACCCUUGUGAAUAGUUGUAUUUUUCUAUUCAGACUGCCCCGGUAACGGGGAGGAAGGAGGGGAUGA
rnacentral:rRNA from 1 species